ACACACAGUUUAACAACAAAACAAAACGCUGAGUGAACAUUACUACCUACGUUUUUCAUGUUGGUUUUGAGCGGUAUGCACCCCUCGUGGGGAAGAAAAAGCAAUUCAACUGAAGCACUUACCAUGAGAUCACAGGCUCACUUAGUUUCAGAUGGUUAUAAUGGCAUCACAAGUUCAAACAGUGAAUGCUUGUUUGCUUGUCUGUAUGGAAGAAGGUUCACUCAGUUUGAAGUGGUUAUAAUGGCAUCAGUGAAUGCUUGUUUCUUUGAACUGCUUUAAUUUAUCAUUUUAUUUCUUCUAUUAAUUUUAUUCUAAAGGUGAAAUAAAUGCAAGAUGGGUUAGGGUUGCAAGAUGUUUCCAAAGUCAGUGAGUCUCAAUCUGUUCUGUUGACUUUCCCUAUCUGCA